ensembl:snRNA U2 U2 spliceosomal RNA
AUCGCUUCUUGGCCUCUUGGCUAAGAUCAAGUGUAGUAUCUGUUCUUAUCAGUUUAAUAUCUGAUACAUCCCCCACCUAGGGACCGUAUAUUAAAUUGAUUUUUGGAGCAGGGAGAUGGAAUAGGGACUUGCUCCGUCCACUCCACGGUUCAGCCCCUCUGAAUGUUGAAUAUUAAAUAUGGAUCAAGAGCA